rnacentral:lncRNA from 1 species
UUUUUAGAACAUUGUAUUAUAUACGUGUUUGCAGUGGUGGAGUCAAAAUUUUCAAAUAAUGGUGCCUUAAUUUCAACAAAAAAAAAAUCAAUGGACAAUUUGUCGAGCACCUGGUGGGUACUUUCCGAUUCCUACCAACAUUUACCAAAAGCUUACACGAAUGUAUGUCGACAACUACUAUGACCAAUAAAGGCUUGUCAAGGGCAGCAGUGAGAAACCAUCGAGUAAUGUUGAAGACUGCCAAUGACACACCCCGACCUGGAAUGUCCACUUGGACUCCAAAUCGAGUUGUGCUGGCCGACACCUGAAGGGUGACGAAGCCAUAAAGUGUAGUGAUGUGGAAGGUUUGGGUAAAUUUAAACCUAAAGUGCCUAAUCAAGAGAGUGUGCAGGUGAGCGGGUUUGAACCCUAUUCACACGUGAUGUCAGAGCAUAAGACAGUAUAGUAAUAAGUUGAGGGUUACACCACUGAAGGUAACCAUCUCCUGAGAUUUGCCAAAAUCCUCGUAUAUGCGUAAACACCGCUACUAAACCUGGAGGGGCAAAAAACAAUUUGAGUGGGUCAGUAAAACAAUACUUAUACGAAAACCUUUACUUUUGAAUAUACUAACCCCUCACCAUAAAACAAGUAUAGUUUCCUCAAAACAUACUACGUAAGUAUGUAAUCAAAUAUAACAUCAAUAUAACCAGAAAUAUGCCAAGUCAUGAUAUAUCAAAUGCCACAAUAAUCAUGUGAUAAUCAAUAUAACUAAGUGCUCAUCCAUCUAAGCUGACACACAAGUUCGAACAGAUGGUUUUUGACACGAACAGGACUGGGUGUAAUCAAUAUGCUCUAGUACUACGAUCACGUGAAGACUAGUGCAAAAGCACAUCACAUACAAGUCGGAUCGCCUAAUGCAAUCUACCCGACAAGACUGGCACCUAAACUUGGAUCCAAGGUGAGCGAACGGUGCAGAUGUGAACAUACACGUGAAGGACUGGCCCUGGCCCUGAGGCGAGUACUAACACCGGGUGCAGCAAGAUGAGCAUGUACACAAGCACGUAUGAAUGCCAUGACAGUAAUAUCACAACCAUAUAGCAGCAUUUAUCACAUUUCAUAUCACAAUAUCAAAUACUUGGCAAUAUAAGCGUAAAAGUGAAGUAAAUACGCAUUUAUGGAAACUAUAAUAUGUAUAGGUAUAAAAACAAACUGCCCACUCAUAGAUACUUCGCCGCUGACGAGCCACGCAACCUAGCGAAGAUGGAAACGCCAUUAAUAAUUGCCCCUAAGCACAUAAAGGUACAAUUAAUAAAACUAUACUAUAACAAUUGAAUUUGGAAAAAAAAGACGUCAAAAACGGAUUCAGAACGUCGAAUUACCAUAAGAAGGGUCCUACUUAAAUUUCCGAAAAGUCAACAAAAGUCAACAGGAUGAAUAUUCCCUGAAAGACGAAAUAUUCUCUGACGGAUGGAAAAUUCCCUAACGGAAUAUUUCAUCUGGGUUAAGGGUUAUUAGGUUGGGUUAGAUUAAUAGGUUGGACUUAAGGAUUUUAGGCCUAAAGGCCUAAACUAAAAGGUUUAAGAUUUAAAAUGCAUGCUUAAAGCCCAAAAGGAAAUGGCCAAAGGCCUUUAAUUAACCAAAUAAUAAUAAAGGGUUAGGUUGGGCUGCCCAGGGUCUUGGGCUUGGCAGGAACGGCCCGAAGGGUCUGGGUUUGGGUUGCAGCUCACCGGAGUUAAACGGAAGGGAAGGCCGGAUUCGGCCAAAAAACUGAACAACCUUUAAACGUUAAUAACUUCCUCGUUAUGCAACGAAAUCGAGUGAAACAAAAACGAAAGUUGUAGUUCUCGAAGAGACGAAGAGAAUGGUACCUCUCACGAUGUCUAACUCUCGGUGGUUUGGCCGGAAAACACCUCGAAAUCCGUCGGACUCGCCGGAAACUGGGUAAGAUUCAAAUGAGUAUAACUUCUUCAAUACUCAACGAAAUUGGGUGAAACAAAAAGGAAAGUUAUAGUACUCAGCGAGACAAAGAGAUUGAUUUGCAUGAUGGCCAACUCGCCGUGGUUUGGCCGGAAAUUGGCUCGAAAGGCACAUGUCAGACUUGAACUUCUCAAAACCGAGUUGUUUCACAUCAAAGCUUCCUCAAACCUUGACUAGAGACCCUAGGGAGUUGCGUAGAGGCUUUCCCGAGUCCUAAAACAUCGUGACUCGGUUGAAAACACGUCGAACUCAACUCGUCCGAGUUCGGACCUUCCAAGUUGGCGAGUCAAAACUCGUCCAUUCUUGGUUUGGUUGGUAUGGUUGUGUUCGUGAGGAUGAGAGGAGUAAAAUGGGGUUGGUUUCAAGCUCGAUCUAUGAGCUUUGAUGUUCGUUCAUGGCGUUGCAGAGGAAGAGAGAAUACGGGAGAGAAAGAGAUAGAAGAGAGAUAGAACCUUUUCUGAUAGAGGGGGACAGUAAAUAAAGAAGAGAUGGGAUAGGUGAGAGUGAAAUAAUGAAGAGAGG